CUCUUCGGAGAUACUCGAGUGGCGAACGGGUGAGUAACACGUGGGUAAUCUGCCCUGCACAUCGGGAUAAGCCUGGGAAACUGGGUCUAAUACCGAAUAGGACCACGAGAUGCAUAUCUUGUGGUGGAAAGCUUUUGCGGUGUGGGAUGGGCCCGCGGCCUAUCAGCUUGUUGGUGGGGUGACGGCCUACCAAGGCGACGACGGGUAGCCGGCCUGAGAGAGUGUCCGGCCACACUGGGACUGAGAUACGGCCCAGACUCCUACGGGAGGCAGCAGUGGGGAAUAUUGCACAAUGGGCGCAAGCCUGAUGCAGCGACGCCGCGUGGGGGAUGACGGCCUUCGGGUUGUAAACCUCUUUCACCAUUGACGAAGGUUCGGGUUUUCUCGGAUUGACGGUAGGUGGAGAAGAAGCACCGGCCAACUACGUGCCAGCAGCCGCGGUAAUACGUAGGGUGCGAGCGUUGUCCGGAAUUACUGGGCGUAAAGAGCUCGUAGGUGGUUUGUCGCGUUGUUCGUGAAAUCUCACGGCUUAACUGUGAGCGUGCGGGCGAUACGGGCAGACUGGAGUACUGCAGGGGAGACUGGAAUUCUGGUGUAGCCGGUGGAAUGCGCAGAUAUCAGGAGGAACACCGGUGGCGAAGCGGUCU
rnacentral:rRNA from 1 species